rnacentral:rRNA from 1 species
UACGAAGGGGGCUAGCGUUGUUCGGAAUUACUGGGCGUAAAGCGCACGUAGGCGGUUCCGCAAGUCCUGUGUGAAAUCUUCGGGCUCAACUCGAAGUCUGCACGGGAAACUGCGGGGCUUGAGUGUGGGAGAGGUGAGUGGAAUUCCCGGUGUAGCGGUGAAAUGCGUAGAGAUCAGCAGGAACACCCGUGGCGAAGGCGGCCACCUGGGCCUAACCUGACGCUGAGGCGCGAAGGCUAGGGGAGCGAACGGG